UUACGUUACUGGCAGCUAACGUUUGAGUUAGUGGUAGUUAACAGCCACUUACAACCCAGACACACACUAAAGUAGCAGAGAGUUACCAGUAGGAGGCAGAGUGAGCUUGUAAUCCCUCCAGAGUCUGCGUACCUGAUGACCGGCUGCAGAAUGGACUCCAGGAGGAUUUGUGAAACACGGAUUUGUUUCCGCCUCGUCAUUCCUACCAGUAUUAUCCAGCUGGCAGCUGAGAGUGGUCAGAGUGACGGCUCCGCCUACUUUGACAGAGCCAGGCGGAGGUCCUUCUCCUCCUGCUGCUUCUUCAGCAGGUUGGCCCGAUGUGCAUGUUACUCCUGGCGAUGCUGCUGCUCCUCCAUCACGAUGGCCUCAGCUGAGGUUUAGUCAGAAGUUCAGUUGCUGACGUUACCAGGAUGCCAGUGUCGUCCAUGGAUGUGGCUCGCCAUCACAUCCACACUUCUUUGGCAGUUGAAGGGUGUCAUAAAAAAAAAAAAAAACUGUUUAUACAUAAUGUGCAGAACCACAAAAAAAAAUUAAUUCAUUAAACUUCAAUCACCUUGUACACAAA